rnacentral:rRNA from 1 species
GAUGAACGCUGGCGGCAGGCCUAACACAUGCAAGUCGAGGGGUAGAACACUUCGGUGUUUGAGACCGGCGCACGGGUGCGUAACGCGUAUGCAAUCUACCUUGUACAGGGGAAUAGCCCAGAGAAAUUUGGAUUAAUGCCCCAUAGUAUAUAACCUUCGCAUGUUGGUUAUAUUAAAGUUCCAACGGUACAAGAUGAGCAUGCGUCCCAUUAGUUAGUUGGUAAGGUAACGGCUUACCAAGACGAUGAUGGGUAGGGGUCCUGAGAGGGAGAUCCCCCACACUGGUACUGAGACACGGACCAGACUCCUACGGGAGGCAGCAGUGAGGAAUAUUGGUCAAUGGGCGCAAGCCUGAACCAGCCAUGCCGCGUGCAGGAAGACGGUCCUAUGGAUUGUAAACUGCUUUUAUACAGGAAGAAACCCUCCCACGUGUGGGAGAUUGACGGUACUGUAGGAAUAAGGAUCGGCUAACUCCGUGCCAGCAGCCGCGGUAAUAC